rnacentral:rRNA from 1 species
AGAGUUUGAUCCUGGCUCAGGAUGAACGCUAGCUACAGGCUUAAUACAUGCAAGUCGAGGGGAAACGACAUCGAAAGCUUGCUUUUGAUGGGCGUCGACCGGCGCACGGGUGAGUAACGCGUAUCCAACCUGCCCACCACUUGGGGAUAACCUUGCGAAAGUAAGACUAAUACCCAAUGACGUCUCUAGAAGACAUCUGAAGGAGAUUAAAGAUUUAUCGGUGAUGGAUGGGGAUGCGUCUGAUUAGCUUGUUGGCGGGGUAACGCCACAAGGCGACGAUCAGUAGGGGUUCUGAGAGGAAGGUCCCCCCANAUUGGAACUGAGACACGGUCCAAACUCCUACGGGAGCA